GAUGAACGCUGGCGGCGUGCCUAAUACAUGCAAGUCGAGCGAACGGACGAGAAGCUUGCUUCUCUGAUGUUAGUGGCGGACGGGUGAGUAACACGUGGAUAACCUACCUAUAAGACUGGGAUAACUUCGGGAAACCGGAGCUAAUACCGGAUAAUAUUUUGAACCGCAUGGUUCAAAAGUGAAAGACGGUCUUGCUGUCACUUAUAGAUGGAUCCGCGCUGCAUUAGCUAGUUGGUAAGGUAACGGCUUACCAAGGCAACGAUGCAUAGCCUACCUGAGAGGGUGAUCGGCCACACUGGAACUGAGACACGGUCCAGACUCCUACGGUAGGCAGCAGUAGGGAAUCUUCCGCAAUGGGCGAAAGCCUGACGGAGCAACGCCGCGUGAGUGAUGAAGGUCUUCGGAUCGUAAAACUCUGUUAUUAGGGAAGAACAUAUGUGUAAGUAACUGUGCACAUCUUGACGGUACCUAAUCAGAAAGCCACGGCUAACUACGUG
rnacentral:rRNA from 1 species